AUCAAACAUAAAUCAAGUUCUAUCUCAGAGACUACAUGAAAAUCAAAUCAUGCAUGGAUCUUGUUUUAUUUGCUGAGAGCAGGCAUCUCCAGACUAUGUUUAGAGCUUCUAGGGGAUGCAAUUGAAGAGGUAUAAAUUAAAGUGCUUUGGAGUGGACAUCAGGGAAAUGCCUCUGGGCUCUGCUGAGCCUUAUCCUUGAACAUGCUCCUGUGCCAGCCUUGUCCUACAAAAUCCAGGUGAAGGGUUAUGCAAUAACUCAGCUCUUGGACCCAUCCAGAAGAAAAGUGAAAUCAGAGAAGUCCCUCAAGCAGAGUGCAUUAAAGAUGGCAGAACAAAAAUCUUGAAGAGACCUCAUCAAACACAGACAAUAAUCAGCAUUAAUUCAGU